GCAGAAACUAACACAAUGAUGUAAAGCAAUUAUACUCCAAUAAAGAUGUUAAGAAAAAAAAGAAAAUGCAGCAUGGCAACUGCAGUGAUCAGUAUUGCUGAGAGGCCAAAUAAGACAUCUCAUGGAGAAAAUAUUUUGCAUCUAUUGAAGAAGGAACUUGAUUUUACGUGGAUAAUUCAUCCCUUGCCCUGGGCUGACAGCAAAAGGGCCAAGCUCUCCAUAUGUUGAACAACAUUCCACAAUGGCAUAAGCACACAGACAGGUUUCCUGCAGCCCCCCUGACUGUCCCUGUCACCCAGUGCCAGAUGGGAAGUGAGAGCUCAGCUGAUCUACCUCUUUGUGGUGGAAACCCCCAGAGCUUCAGCUCCAGGCUACAGGUUACCGAAGCCGUCAUGAAAAAUUCAGAGCUGAUAUUAACAAGUCUGCUGAAAGUAAAGCGCGUGUCACAUUAUCUACCCUGCCUUUCAGUUAAUACUAAAGCUACUGUCGCCAAAGAAGAAAUGCAGACUUGCUGUGCUUGUGUUCAGAGCUAUUUGCGUUGUACUAUGUAGAUUCAGAAAUAAGAAGAAAGAUGUUGUAAAAAGUAGAAGACAGAAAGAUCAGACAGCUGAAUUACUGAGAAUCCUUGAGAAUGAGGAUAGAAGAGAGAAUUGAAAGUGGCCUCAAUACUUGGAGUGAAAUAUGGAAAUAUGUUACUGAAGUUCCCCUCCUGCAGCUUCGGUAAAUAAUUAAACAUGUUUAUAAUUGUUAUAUAUGCACAUUGCUGCUAUUUAUCCAGUAAUAAAUCUAUUUCCUAAAGGUUCUUUUAAUUAAAAAAGACAAUCCUGUAGACAAAAUUUUGAGAUUAAA